CUGCACUGUUCGUAACCUGUUGACAGCCUCUUCUGCUAAUGGGUUCCAUUCCAGUGCCACAGUAACACCCCAAAUAAGAAAAGGUUGGCUGUUUGUGCUUGCCAUCUAUAUUUUGGGGGACACUA